rnacentral:rRNA from 1 species
CCUACGGGUGGCAGCAGUGAGGAAUAUUGGUCAAUGGACGCAAGCCUGAACCAGCAAUGCCGCGUGCAGGAAGACGGCUCUAUGAGUUGUAAACUGCUUUUGUACGAGGGUAAACGCAGAUACGCGUAUCUGUCUGAAAGUAUCGUACGAAUAAGGAUCGGCUAACUUCGUGCCAGCAGCCGCGGUAAUACGGAGGAUUCAAGCGUUAUCCGGAUUUAGUGGGUUUAAAGGGUGCGUAGGCGGUCGGAUAAGUUAGAGGUGAAAUCCCGAGGCUCAACUUCGGAAUUGCCUCUGAUACUGUUCGGCUAGAGAGUAGUUGCGGUAGGCGGAAUGUAUGGUGUAGCGGUGAAAUGCUUAGAGAUCAUGCAGAACACCGAUUGCGAAGGCAGCUUACCAAGCUACUUCUGACGUUGAGGCACGAAAGCGUGGGGAGCAAACAGGAUUAGAUACCCGUGUAGUC